UCCUAGGCAGAGGCCUGGUCUCCAAGAUGGUGCUUCCACUCCUACUGGCCUCCCAGGGUCAAGGAGAAAGCAGCCAAUUUGUUACAUUUUAAUUACAACACUAGGGAACUGCUCAUUUAGAAUCCCACUUAAAAUGGAAUCUGCCUUCCCCAACUAACAGAGAAGUACUUAAAGAGCAGUUAAGUGUUACUAGAUGCUUCAGAGCAGCAAACGUAAAGUAUCUAUGAACUACCAGAGUCAGUCUGCAGGACAAAAGCUGGGUUCUCCAGCAAAGAGAGGAGGUCUGCCCUCCACCUGCCUCCAGGGCCCUGAAGCUGGCAGUACUUGAACUCAAUCUUCUCAGAUCAGCUCUGCUGGUUGACAGCACAGACUUCAGAGCUACUCACCGACUGUGAGUAUGGCAAACUGCUCAUCUUCUCCAACCUCAACUUCCUCAUCUGUAAAAUGGGGGGCUGGUUCUCUAAUCUCACAGGUUUGCCCAGAAUGAAACAUAUAGUAGAUGAGAAGCCCUAGACAGGACUUUCCCACCUAAAUAAACUCCCCUAGGGAAAAGGCAUUCACUUGCCUAAACCGAGCACCAAGCACUCAGGACACCCUUGAUAUUUCCCCAGUUUUUGACACACCUCCCAGGACCCCAGGCUGUUUCUCAAACAAAGUCCCAACACUGAGACUAACUAGACAAAAGCAAGACGGUAAGCAUUCACCGCGAAAACCACCCAAAAGGCUGCAAGCAAAUCAGGUUAAACAAGGAUCCAUAGCCCUUUUCUGUUGGAUGGGUUCGUUCUGUACAUAAAGGCAACAUUUCCUUAACAGCAAGAAACAUUUUUGGCUACUCUUUAAAAGGAAACAAAAAAACUAACUUCAAACAGUACAGUAACUUCCCAAACCCAAGCAUACUUUCACAGUAUAUAAACCAAACCAGUUAAUUCUGUGAUUUAGGAGCAAAUGCACGCCAUGAUCGUGAGCCCAGCUAAUCAUUCCCUUCCCUGCCUCCUACUCGUGAAACUACCAGUUCUAAUCUCUGUUCCACUGGUACAAAGCGAUCUUAAAAACAAAACUCUUCCUCCAGCGAAGCGCUGAUGUUGAGGGUCCCAUCAACGGCAAGCAGAGCUCUCUAGAGGUGCAAAAAUAUUCAGACUGGUUUUGGUUUUUAAACAUCAAUCCCCCCUUACCUCCCCCCGCCCCCCACCAGCAGCCAGCGAUUGUAAUUCAAGACUUUCAACUCUCUCUCUGCCGGGCCUUAUAUCCUCGGCUGGAGAGCGCCACAGGUUUGUGUGCAGAUCCGUGACCCCGGAAACGCACGUCCCUCAGUGGAGGGAAGCUCCUGUCAAGCCCGCCUCGGCUCCCCGACCGCGCCGCGAGCUCAUGCUGUAAGGGAUGCCCCCCACUUUCACAAGGGAAAGCGACGGGAGCCCUAAGAAGGAAGGCCAGGACAACGCCGAGACCGGGCCAGAAAGAUGGAAUCACAUGGCAGUGCCCAAUCACAGGAGGCAGCAUCCAGGAGCUGAGAAUGGCCCCCUGAUGACAGCCAGCACAAAAGCAGGGACCUUGGACCUUCAAUAGGAGCUGGAUAACACCACAAUGAGUUUGCAGGAGAUCACCAACCCUCAGAUGAGGACUAGAGAAUGCAACCCCAGACUUUUGAGGUUGCGAGCAAAGGAGCCCACUAAGCCUGGGCUCCUGAUGCACAGAACCUGUGAUAAUAAAUGUGUCUUGUUUAAAGCUG